CUUUUGUCUGACUGGAUUGGUUCAAAGGACCAGUCUUCAAGCUCUGAAAUUCUUUCUUACGUUUUGACUAGUGUGUUAUUAAGGCUCCCAGUUGCUUUUUGAAAUUCUUGCAGUGAAUGUUUCAAUUACAGAAGUUCUGUUUGCUUAUUUCUUAAUACAACUAUGUCCUCUUUCAAAUCUUGGAUCAUUUUUCUUGUUUUCAUCAGGUUGGGUACCAACUUUCUCUUGGAUCUCAUUUAGUUUCCUUGCCACCCAGAUUCUGAAUUCUGUAUCUGUCAUUUCAGAAAUUUAUUCUUGUCAAGAUCCAUUGUUAGGAAGCUAAUGCAAUCCUUUGAAGGUGGUAAAAUACUUUUUUUUUUUUUUUUUUUUUUUGUAUUGCCAGAGUUCUUGCACUGGUUUCUUCUCAUCUGAAGAAGCCGAUACUUCUUUUUUGAACUUGCUAUUGUUUGGAUGGGAAUUUUAAAUUUUUAUUCUUUUUACUCUUGAGGUUAUAAUUGUAGUAUAUGUAGUAAUUGGAUUCAUUUCUGGGUGCUUUCAGAGGACCAAAACUCUGUAUGGUUCCCUUGUUUGCAGAGUGGAACAUCUGGCGGUUUCCUCAGAUGUUGCUUUUUGUAGUGAUAUUUUUGUUGGGUGAUGUAAGUCAGUCUUUGGUCCAGUAGAUAAAGCUUGAGAGUAAGAGCCAGCAGCAGGUAGGCUCUUAUUCUGCAUGUCGUCACCCUCAGUGGGGGUGAAGGCAACUAAAACGCUUAAGAAGCACUCUAUUCUAGCAGGCACUUACCUUUGGCAGGGGUGGAGCCACUGGACAAGACUGAGAAGUGGCCUCUUUCAGCCCAUGCUUCCCAGGUCCCAGUGGGAAGAGCCACUGCCAUGUCUGCAACAUUGUGGGGAGGGCAAGGGACAAGAGAUGACCCCUUCUCCACUUCUCUUCCCUGGCUUUGGUAAUAGAGCAGCUGGUGUCAUGCUCAUGUUUCCUUUGAUCCAAGAAAGACUUUGGUGGACUGUGCUUUCCUCUUCCUUAGGGGCAGUCAGAGCCAAGGGUUAGUUCUGCAGGGGAUAAGUUUCCACCUCCUUCCUGCUCAUUGGAACUGGGGGUCACUAUUCUCAAGCUGAUCAAGGGGGCAGCCUGGAGCACCCAGCAAUGACACAUGAAGACCAGUUGCAGGUCACAAAGCUGUCCCUGUGGCAAGUCUUAUUGCCCAGGAGAAACCUCUGUUUCAGCGACUCUCCUACUGUUCCACUCAUGAGACAGGAGAGAGCCUAAUUCCAGCAUCUACUGCUGGAGUACUCUCCAUACUCACCACUCAAUUCUGGCUGUGGAGGCCCUUUUCCCUCUCCAGAAAGAAUGCUCCAAUCUCUGGCCCAAAACUAAAAUGCCUGCAGGGAACGCAACUUCCAGGUUACCAAACAAUGACUAACUUUGUAUGAACCUGGAUUAAAAAUGACAUCCUAAUUUCAGGAAGUGCCCGAAGCUUCCCUCUGUCUGCCUCUCAGCCUUUCCACAAAUUAGCUCCCAGCCUUAGAAGAAGCAGGGUGCUGUCCCUUGGCCUGGGUUGCACAGAUCGCUAUUGGAAAGAUGGGGUCUCUUUCCGUUACCCAGGCUGGAGUGCAGUGGCACAUUCAUGGCUCACUGCAGCCUCAAGAAAUCUUCCCACCACAACCUUUUGAACAGCUGGCACCACAAGUGUGCACCAGCACACCUGGCUAAUUUUUUAUUGUCCUUUUUUGGUUUGUAGAGACAGGGUCUCACUAUGUUGCCCAGGCUUGUCUGGAACUCCUGGGCUCAAGUGAUCCUCCCACCUUGGCCUCCCAAAGUGCAGAGAUUACAGAUGUGAGCCACUGUGCGCAUCCAGCUCCAGCAGUUAAAUUACUUAUGUAUCAACAUACAGUUGUGUCUAUGUCCAUUCGUUAUUAUGUCAUUGUAAAUACACAAGCAAGUAAAAUGCAAGUGUAAAUGAGUUAUUUGUUGACAAAACUAAAGUUGAGUGUUUGAGGAAGUAUACAUAAAGUUGAUAGCCUAAGAGGCUGCUAUAAAAUCAAGUGUGGGAAAGACAUCUAAGAAGAUUUAGAGGGGUAUCAUAAAAUCUGGAAUAAUAAUAAUAAAGUUUGCUUUACAAUUCCCUUUAAAUU
rnacentral:lncRNA from 10 species